rnacentral:rRNA from 1 species
CGUAGGCGGCUUAUCAAGUCAGGUGUGAAAGCCUUGGGCUUAACCCAAGAACUGCGCUUGAUACUGAUAAGCUUGAGGAUGAUAGAGGAAAGCGGAAUUCCUAGUGUAGAGGUGAAAUUCGUAGGUAUUAGGAAGAACACCAGAGGCGAAGGCGGCUUUCUGGAUCAUAUCUGACGCUGAGGCGCGAAAGCGUGGGAGCAAACA